UGGUGGAGUGAUUUGUCUGGUUAAUUCCGUUAACGAACGAGACCCCUACCUGCUAAAUAGGCUGGUGAGUGAUUAUCACUGAUCAAGGCUUCUUAGAGGGACGUGCAUUCUAUUAGAUGCAGGAAGAUAGGGGCAAUAACA
rnacentral:rRNA from 1 species